rnacentral:rRNA from 12 species
AAAUGGAUACCUCAACGUUAAAAAUUAAAGAACGUUUGUUAAACGAAAUGUUAUGACGAGUCAAGCUAUUUUAACUUAUAACUUUUCUAGAUCGGAAACGAGUUUUGAAAAAUUUAAACAGAUUUUAAUUAUUUUUCAAUUAAAAUUUUUGCAAACUAGUGAACUGAACCAUCUAAGUAACUAGAAAAAAAAUCAACCGAGAAUCCGUUAGUAGUGGCGAGCAAAAGCGGUAUAGACUUUUUUUAAAAACCAUAAGUAAUAUGUUUAAGACUUAAAAGCCAAAGAAGGUAACAUAAAAUAAUAUAAAUAGCCCUGUAAAACAUAUAGUAAAAUUUUAAAAUAUAAAGUAAAAUGAUACAAGUCGUGUAUUAUUUCAAAAAUGGGGUCCCACCCUCAAAGUCUAAAAAAUUUUAACGAUUGAUAGCGAAUAGUACCGUAAGGGAAAGGUGAAAUAGAAUUUUCGAAUUUGAAAAGAACUUGAAAUUUAAUGUUUAUAAUCAGUUGUAGCUUUAAAAAAGUGACAGCGUUCCUUUUGCAUAAUGAAUCAAUGAGUUUAUAUCAAUGGCAAGCUUAAACAUUUAAAAGUGUAGGCUAAAAAAAAUUGAGUUCUAAACUGCGCUCGUUUAAAAAAAUAAUUAGUCUUUGAUAUAAGACCCGAAACUAAGUGAUCUAAUCAUGAACAGGCUGAAUUUAAAGCGGUAACGCUUAUUGAAGGGCCGAACUCGUGUAUGUAGAAAAAUACUGAGAUGAUUUGUGGUUAGGGGUGAAAGGCCAAUCAAACUUAGAGAUAGCUGGUUUUCUGCGAAAUCUAUUUAAGUAGAGCGUUUAAAAUUCUUUAUCUAAGGUAGAGCACUCGAUAAAUAAAGGGGACGUAAAGUUUUACUGCAUUUAAUGAAACUCCAAAUAUAGAAUUAAAAAGAUUUUAAACAGACAGACUAUGAGUGCUAAGAUUCAUAGUCAAAAGGGAAACAGCCCGCAUUAUUUGUUAAGGCCCUCAAAAAUAAUUAAGUGAAAAAGAAAGUAAAAAAAUUUUAACAAUCUAUAGGUAGGCUUGGAAGCAGCCAUCCUUUUAAGAAAGCGUAACAGCUCAUUGGUUUAGUUUUUUUGCAUCAAAAAUGUAUAGGGACUAAAAUUAUUUGCCGAAACAAUAAAUUUAAAAUAAGGUAAUUAAUGUUAUAUUAUUUUAAAUGGUAGCAGAACGUUUUGUAUAUUUAAGAAAAUUUAUAGUUAUAUAAAUUGGAAAAAUCAAAAAUGAAAAUAUUGAUAUGAGUAGCGAAAAACAUUGUGAAUAAUAAACAUUGUCACCUUAAGUUCAAGGUUUCUAAGGGAAGGCUAAUCCUCCUUAGUGUUAAUCGGUCCCUAAGAUAAAAACGAAAGUUGUAGUUGAUGGGUAAUUUUUUUAUUAUAUUUUAAAGUGACAAAAUACAAAUUUAAUUUUUAUUUAUGAUUUUAAUUAAAAGUUUUUUAGUGUUUUCAAGAAAUAGCUUAAAAUAAUACCGUACUCUAAACCGACACAGGUGAACAAAUUUAGUAAAUUAAGGUGCUUGAAUUAAUUGUAUUGAAGGAACUCGGCAAAAUGACUCCGUAACUUCGGAAUAAGGAGUAGCUUUUUUAAGGUAAAACUUUUAAAAGCUGUCACAAAAUCGAGGACAGCGACUGUUUAAUAAAAACACAGGUCUCUGCUAAUUUGAAAAAAGAAGUAUAGAGACUGACGCCUGCCCGGUGCUGCAAGAUUAAGAGAAAAAGUUUUGGCUUUGACUUUAACCCCCAGUAAACGGCGGCUGUAACUCUGACGGUCCAAAGGUAGCGAAAUUCCUUGGCAUUUAAUUGGUGUCCUGCAUGAAUGGCGUAACGACUGUCCUACUGUCUCCAGUGCAAUUUCAGUGAAAUUGAAAUGUCUGUGAAGAUGCAGACUACUUGCGGCUAGACGGAAAGACCCUGUGCACCUUUACUAUAGUUAUAAAUUGUAAUAAAAUUUUUUUUGUGUAGAAUAUGUGGUAAGUUUUUAUUAAAUCGUAACAUAAGUUAUUUAUUUAAACAUCAAUGAAAUACCACUCUUAAAAACUUUUGUUACUCAUGAAUUUAAAACAGUUUAUAAUGGGUAGUUUGACUGGGGCGGU